rnacentral:tRNA from 1 species
AUUUAAAUAAUUUAAUAAAAAUGUUGAUUUGUGGGGUCAAAUUUAUGUGUAAGACAUUUUAAAUU